ensembl:lncRNA
ACAGGCUGCCAUCCAUCCGAAUCAACGUGGGGCCCGAUUUGAAAUUCAAAUCCUGGCUAAACAGAACGUUAAUAUGAAUUUCGUAUUCUGUUCUUCUUGCAGAACCAGCUGCGUUGUGCCAGGCUGGCCCGGGGCAUAGCAGGCUCCACUACGCAGGACCCCUGGCCGCCUCCCCGCCCUGCUGCGGCCCUGCGCCCCAGAGCUGAGGGCGCUGCUGGAGACCGGCUGCUCUCUCGGGAUAGUUCUCCCACGGGAAAACAACAAAACAGAACAGGGAAAUGACUGGGGCCAGCCUCCCCCCGGCAAAGGUCCUCACUCCUGUCUGGAAUGAGCUUUCCUCAGGACCUGUCUGCACUGGGACGGGAGCUCCUCACCCACACGGGGAACUCGUCUGUCUCCUUUGUCACUGUCUCCCGUGUCCAGCAAUGUUCAAGAGCCGAGUGACCUCGGGGAGUCACCACGCCUCUGAGCUUUGGAUUCAGAGAAGGGACGAAUCAGUCCUGCUGUUUUGCAAGCCCUGCAGCCUUAUCAGGGCAGAGGCAGCCAGACGACUGUUCUGGAAAAAGCAGGGGUGAGGCAUCUGCCACUCCGCCUGCAUUCCAGGUCUGGACCCUCCCCCCACUCAGUCGUGUACCUUCACCACAUCACCAAUAACGUGGGCCUCAGUGCGAGCCUGCCAUGGUGGCGGUGAUGUGUCCGUGGCGGAAAGAUUCCAUCUGAGCGGCCAAAGGGCAGCACGCCCGUGAGCCCAGUGCACGGACCACAGGUAAUGUGGGGCGGUGGGAAGGAUGCCGGCCACCUUGGGGCCAGAAAACCUGGGCUGGAGUCUGGUCUCUGACCCGCUCUGGCCUGGGGACCUCGGGCAGUCACUGCCUGGAGUCUGUUUCUUCAACUGUGGAAAGGGGACCAUCACACGCACCCCACAGCCUGGUCGUGAUAAUUACAUACAAUAACCUGCAAAGUCACCUGCUGCCCUUGAGAGCAGGGACCCCCCCCCCCGGCGCCCCUGGGACCGUGUCCAGCACAGAGUAGGUGCUGUCGUUUGUCACAGUCAGUUUUUCAUGAGGACAAUGCUUAGGGGCUCCCUUUUAUUAAAACAAGCGAACAGACAGGGACAGAGCUCAGAGCCUGUGCGGCCUGCUGUCACUUUACAGCUGGGAGGGGAGGUGGAGGCUGGUGUGUCGGGAAGGCCUGGUGGGGCACUGGGUCUAAGCUGGGACACGACCCACCUCUUUUCUGGCUGCUGGCCCUGCCUUCCCCACCAGCCACAGUCUGUCAUGUACUUUGUUUGGAGGCUUCUUCCCCGGGGGGCCCUUUUGCCCAUCCCCCCAGCUCGCCUCCCUCAGCCCUGAACUGACCUGGUCCUACUCCUCUCUGCUCUCCGUGCCAGAACACGGGGUCCCACUGCUUCCCUUCCUGGCCCUGGGCCUGAGCUGGAGAUUUCGAAUUUGACAGGUUGGGAAUUUACACCACGGAGGGGGAGGGCCAGGGCACAUUCCAGGGGAAGAGACUUCUUAGACAUCUGGCCACCCCCGCAUCCCAACCCUCAGGGCUGGGCACAGACAGCAAGGGCCCCAG